GACGGAGGAUGCAAGCGUUAUCCGGAAUGAUUGGGCGUAAAGCGUCCGCAGGUGGCAGUUCAAGUCUGCUGUCAAAGCCCGGGGCUUAACUUCGGAAAGGCAGUGGAAACUGAACAGCUAGAGUAUGGUAGGGGCAGAGGGAAUUCCUGGUGUAGCGGUGAAAUGCGUAGAGAUCAGGAAGAACAUCGGUGGCGAAGGCGCUCUGCUGGACCAUAACUGACACUCAGGGACGAAAGCUAGGGGAGCGAAUGGG
rnacentral:rRNA from 1 species